AAACGACUCUCGGCAACGGAUAUCUUGGCUCACGCAUCGAUGAAGAACGUAGCAAAAUGCGAUACUUGGUGUGAAUUGCAGAAUCCCGUGAACCAUCGAGUUUUUGAACGCAAGUUGCGCCCGAAGCCAUUUGGUCGAGGGCACGUCUGCCUGGGCGUCACGCA
rnacentral:rRNA from 1 species